rnacentral:lncRNA from 1 species
UAAGUGUUGACCCACAUCACAGAAAUGGGAUGAGUUUCUCACGCCAGUAAGACCUUUGAUAUUCAGAAAUUAAGAAAUUUAAGAUUGUAUGUAAAAUGUAAGAUGUCUCAGCCAUACGGAAAGAGAGUCAAAUUCUCUGUUUGAACAAAGUGUCAAAUGGGAAAUACCAUAAUUCUAGUAAUAAUUUGCUGCUGUGGAGAGUAGAUUAGUGCUGCCACCAGCUUUAUUAACCCAGUAUGGUCCGGUGCCAGAGGCAAGACCAUAGUCACCACAAGCAGGUUACCACAGGGAAAUAUAUUUGAUUGAAAACAGAAUUCAUUAAGACUGAUGAAUACAAAUUCAUACAAAAUCCAUUUUUUCAGAAGACAGUAAUAGGUUGAGUUCCUCACUACAUUCUUAUAGUUGAACUGAGGCUAAUACUUUAGCAACCACUGGCAAGAGAUUCGAGCUUUAACAUAAUUUGCAAACAGUCCAGUAGGCCUAUUUUAUGAAAUUCAACAGCCCAAAUCCAUUACGGUAGUCUAGCAUAUUUACUAGCACGUCUAAUAGAGGUAUACUCCACUUUCAGACAUAGGCCACGGCUACUUUAAAGUAAAUGAUAAUAAUAACUACAUCGACAAGAAACCAAACUACUUCAUUGAUAGUUUAAUUUACAUACUUGGUUGGAAAAAAAAAUCCAUCCAUUAAAUAAGCUUCAUUUUCACAUCUAACCAUAAUUCUAACACUCGCUUAUGGGUAAAACAAGUUGAGUUUACUGACGUCUAUGAACGGAACUUUUUAACUGCGUGCGCCGCAAUAAUGGUUUGAUCCUGUUUUUGACCACCCCUGUCAGACAUUUUAAAUCAGCCCAGACCAAAGUGAAACUAAAAAGUUACUUUAGACGCUCCAUUUUGUUUUCAUAUGGAAGACAGAAAAACGACGGUCUCCAGAUGUAAAGUGGUGAUGAUUCUCCUCAGCAAGUCCUGGGAUUUCCUGUGAGGAGAGAUGACUGAAUCAUCACAAAAGCCCAACCUGGCAUCAACAAACAUGGAGGACCAGAUAGAGUAUGUUGUGUUCUAGUGUUUCAUUUACCAUUCAUGAUGCCUUAACCCAGAUUGGCCAUUUACCUUGUCACCUCUUUUGUUGAAAAGUGAACACCAUUUUCACAGAAUAUUCAUCCGUUAGUUCGUCAGACUAAAUACCCUAAUUUGUAACUUGCCUGCAUUCAAGUAUUUCCGUGAUAAAUAAAGAAUUUCAGAAACUGCUAAAAGUGGAUCA